UAAGGAAUAUUGGACAAUGGAGGCAACUCUGAUCCAGCCAUGCCGCGUGAAGGAAUAAGGCCCUAUGGGUUGUAAACUUCUUUUAGACGGGACAAAACCCCUUUACGUGUAAAGAGUUGAUGGUACUGUCAGAAUAAGCAUCGGCUAACUUCGUGCCAGCAGCCGCGGUAAUACGAAGGAUGCGAGCGUUAUCCGGAUUUACUGGGUUUAAAGGGUGCGUAGGUGGGCUUAUAAGUCAGUGGUGAAAUCUCCGAGCUUAACUUGGAAACUGCCGUUGAUACUAUAGGUCUUGAAUUAUCUGGAGGUAAGCGGAAUAUGUCAUGUAGCGGUGAAAUGCUUAGAUAUGACAUAGAACACCAAUUGCGAAGGCAGCUUACUACAUAUAAAUUGACGCUGAGGCACGAAAGCGUGGGGAUCAAACA
rnacentral:rRNA from 1 species